ACACAUGCAAGUCGAGGGGCAGCAUGGUCUUAGCUUGCUAAGGCCGAUGGCGACCGGCGCACGGGUGAGUAACACGUAUCCAACCUGCCGUCUACUCUUGGACAGCCUUCUGAAAGGAAGAUUAAUACAAGAUGGCAUCAUGAGUCCACAUGUUCACAUGAUUAAAGGUAUUCCGGUAGACGAUGGGGAUGCGUUCCAUUAGAUAGUAGGCGGGGUAACGGCCCACCUAGUCUUCGAUGGAUAGGGGUUCUGAGAGGAAGGUCCCCCACAUUGGAACUGAGACACGGUCCAAACUCCUACGGGAGGCAGCAGUGAGGAAUAUUGGUCAAUGGGCGAGAGCCUGAACCAGCCAAGUAGCGUGAAGGAUGACUGCCCUAUGGGUUGUAAACUUCUUUUAUAAAGGAAUAAAGUCGGGUAUGCAUACCCGUUUGCAUGUACUUUAUGAAUAAGGAUCGGCUAACUCCGUGCCAGCAGCCGCGGUAAUACGGAGGAUCCGAGCGUUAUCCGGAUUUAUUGGGUUUAAAGGGAGCGUAGAUGGAUGUUUAAGUCAGUUGUGAAAGUUUGCGGCUCAACCGUAAAAUUGCAGUUGAUACUGGAUAUCUUGAGUGCAGUUGAGGCAGGCGGAAUUCGUGGUGUAGCGGUGAAAUGCUUAGAUAUCACGAAGAACUCCGAUUGCGAAGGCAGCCUGCUAAGCUGCAACUGACAUUGAGGCUCGAAAGUGUGGGUAUCAAACAGGAUUAGAUACCCUGGUAGUCCACACGGUAAACGAUGAAUACUCGCUGUUUGCGAUAUACUGCAAGCGGCCAAGCGAAAGCGUUAAGUAUCCCACCUGGGG
rnacentral:rRNA from 1 species